UAGCCCAUUGUGCAGCUCUAGUGCGACGCAAAUGACCUACAACAACAAUAUAAUUGUUUUUUGCUUGCUUUCUGCUUAUUCGUAUUUCAAACAUCAUAAUGUCUACCACUACGCCGCUGGAAGUUAAUGGGCCUCAGAUUCUUAGGAUAGGAUCGUUUCUAUAGGAUCGUUUUUUGCUUUUAUCAGUGUAGUCGGCACUUGACUCAGAUUUAUGUAUUUGUCAUUGUAGGGUCAAAUUAUAACUACAAAUUUCUAGCUUGAUGCGUGGACUUAUAUUCCGAAAACUACAUUGUCUGCCCGGGGAUUGUCAUCGGUGGAUGCUAAGAUGAUCUUACAUCUGGAGAUAGAAAGUUACGAUGGGUGAAACUUAAUCUGUACGAUGAUUGGACAUCGACAAGAUUGUAGAAAAAGUAAACUAAACAUUUCUUUCUAUCGUCAUUUGAUUAUUUUUUUCAUGGCACUUUAUAUAUGCACUUGUAUUGGGCAACCUUACAGUAGGAAAGAACUUAUUAUGGAUAUUGAUUAAUUAAAACUGGAACUGAUGGAAUUACAGGCACGAAUAUCAAAUGUUAUGUUUUAAUGUUAAACCCUAUACAAACGAUGUGCAAAGCUUAUAAAGUUGAGAAUUUGUUGUCAAUAACCAUAAAUUGAAACAGGAAAUUAUUCUAGUGAUUUUUUUAAAAAUUAAAAUCCCUUUGAGACAAAAUUUCCAAGCUUUGGAAUAUUAGGGAUUUAGUGAUUAUCUUCUAAAAGCUAAACUUAGUGAGAAAAGCCUGAAUAUGAUAAAAAUCGGGUAGGUAAUUUCCCAGCAAAAAAGCUUUUUAAAUUUGGUAUUUGCUAGAAAAUUUAAUAUAAAUAUGCAUCGAAUGCUUCUUAGCUAAUUUUUUAUAAUUUUUAUUUAAUAAUUCGAAGUUUAUCGAUAAAAGUUAAAAUAGAAAUUUUAGUUUCUAAAACAUUGACUCGUGACCAUAGACACAGAUUAAUUUACCUUUGUUGAUGAAAUACUGUCUUUCAGAUUUAAUAAAAUAUAGCACAAGAGUUUCUACAUUGAAGAAAGUUUCAUCAUUUUUAGAAAUUUUGAGUUCAUAUCCUUUUUUAAACAUAAUAUAAAAAUCCUCAGACUUUAUAAAUAUUUCAGUAUAAUUUAGCAAAUUUCAUUCUUAAAAAAUUUAUUCUAAAAAUUUUUCAUACUUUAUUGGAAGUGGGACUAAAUCUGAAAUUUGGCGGUAAGUCGAAUUUAUCAAACUAAAAACUUCUAACAUUUUAUUUUUAGAAGAAACGAAAUUUUGUGUAUACUUAGUUUUUUUCUCAAACCCAUUUUUACAGAAUCAUUCCUUUAAGGAUAGAUUGCACAGCAAAUUUCCUGGACUGCAUUUUUCUUUAAUGGAACCUUCAAGAUGUUGAAUUGGGACAAGUUUUAAAAAGUUGAUUUUUCGUAUUUUUACAAUAAAUUCAAAGCUAUUUCACUAGAACAAAGUAAAAUUAAGAAAUCUGUUUAGAAUUUAAAAACCUUGCCUAAGAUACAAAAGAGUCUCGAAGAGAUGAAUUUAAUAUUUUUGUUCAAUAAUUUUCAGUUAUUCAAUGACUUUAUCUGUUUUUCUCAUAUUAUAUACUAUUCACGAUUAUGUCAAAUAUAGUAUUCUGCCCAGUUUUUAAUGAUUCUUAGCUUUUAUGGUGCUUUACGCUAACCAUAAAAUUUAGAGUGCAAGUAAAUUUAAACUUUACAGACAUUUUAAAUGUAGAAGAAUUCUAAAACUCCAUGUUACGUUUAAUAAAGUAAAGACAUCGUGAACUAAAGAGUAAAAGUAAAUUUUUAAUAGCCUAAGUUUUUAAUGCUUGUCUAAAUAGUUUUAAAAUUUUAAAAUGAAAACGUGCAAAUUAAAAAAAAUUGGGUACUUGAAUGCUCCCUUUUAAAUCUAUGAAUUUUCUUUGAAUUAAUAUAAGAGAUAUUUAAAUGUGACUUUAUGCAAUUCCUAAAUUUUAUGCACACAUUCUUUAAAAGCCUUUUUUAAAUUUAUAGUGAUAAAAUAAUUGUUCCCGCUUGUUGUUUCAUAUUUGAAUCUCUAAUGAACUAUUGUCCUAGAGAAUGAAAUGUGAUAGUGGAUUACAAUUUGCUAAUUUCGCUUUGAAUUUGACUGAGAUUAUUCUUUGUUUAAGUACAAUAAAUUUAGUAUUCUAGGACAAAAAUGUAAAAUAUUUUACUGUUUCUGUAAUGGUUUGUCUUUAUGAAUCAGUGUUUCAUUUAUAGAAUCGGAUUGAAAGAAACUAAAUAUUUUUCAAAAGUCAAAAUGUUUAGUAGUAAUGAUAAGUAAUUAAUCCUAAUACGUCAAAAUUUAGUUGAGAAUCUGAAAACUACUGCCGAAUCUUGAAUGAACACUAUCAGGAUUGUAUCAGGCUUUCUCGCAAAUUAAAAAAUUAAUUUUUACAUUAUUUAAAAUAUUUGAAACUCUAUUUAAAAUAGUUCAAAACAAUUAAAACUUAAAAAACCAGUAUUAUCGUGAUAUCUCUGUGCUAAAGAUUUGCUAAUGGGGAGCAAACAGCUGGUUUUAUUACUUAAAAUGAAUACAUUAAAAGCGUUUUAGCUACCGUUGCCCCUGAGAUCAAUCUAAAUGUAUAAUUUUUGUUUCAUUUCAUCCAAAAUGGAUUGAUUUUUCACAAAUAGCUAUCGUAGAGCCGUGGUGGCUUAGAAGGACGGAGCGUUCGCCUUCCAAUGAGGUAACCCGAUUUCGAAUCGAAUCCCGAAUGGCUGGUCUAUAAGAAUUCCACACCCAGAUCACACCGACCACAGAUCUGACGUAAAAUAUCCUCAUUGGUGAACGGAUUAUGAGUUAGUCCCAGGUUAACAGUGGGAUGUUUCUGUGGUUUUCCUUUCCAUGUAGCACAAAUGAAAGUUCGAUCAAGAGAUCAAGACAAAUUUCUCCCAAUACUAACUAGAUCCAGGAAUUCCCUUGUCUUAUGAAUUAGGUUGCAUGGUUCAAUAGUGAAGAGCAAAAAAUUAAGUACCCUGCCUUAAUUUGACGAUAUUUUGGCCACGUGAGUUAAGUUAGAUUGUGAUAGUGUACUGAAAAUUAGUUUUCCAGGGACAACCACGGAUGCAGAAAUAUUUUUUAUAAGCUUAAGUUCAGACAAUGCCUCUAUGACAAAUUCACUGAUCUUUAAGCAAACUAUGAGCCACAGAUCUAAAAGAUAAGUGUAGAAGCUUGAACGGAAAAUUCCUACAAGUCUGAACAGUAUGAUGUCCGAAUUGGUAGAGGUAGAAGGCCGUUCUGCGCUCCAUCUUCGAGCUUCACACUCGUUCAGAAGUCUCUGAAUUUACUCUUGUACAAAGUUCACAGAUUAGUAAGUGUAGGAAUAACCAUGGAGUCGAGGACCUGGAUUGUAAGUUGAGUCGUAGAUUCGCGACUUGAAAUCUCUGGGAAGUCCCAGCGCUUGCAAGUUAUGAAUUUCCACAUGCGUGUCAACUAUUCUAAUCAAAUUGUUUCAAUCAAAAGUUUAAAGGUCUCUGCUGGCCUAGUGACUAAGGUUCUGGACUGUGACACUAGGUCUUCAGGUCCGUCUCCUGAAGUCUUGGAAGAACCUGACCUCGAAGAGUUAAUAGCAUAAAAGCUUUUUGUAGAAUAUUCUAGUUCUAAUUGAGCCAAU